AUGGGCCGGCCCAUGCUUCCAGAUUAUAAAUUGGCAUGUAGCACCCCGGGCUUCUCCGAAACAAUAAUUGAAUGAAGAAGAAAGCCCCAAUGCUCGUGCUAUAUCAGAUCUAUUGCCGUCGAGUGUUGCAGUUCAGCCCUUUGUACCUUUUCAAUGGCCGCUUCUGUGUCAAAUUGACGGCUACACAUCAUCAAUAAUCGUUCUAAUUUCUCUAACUUUUUUCAAUUGUUAUUGCCUCACCUCACCUUAAGCGUUUUUCCUAAAUGAAUUAACUGGAAAGAGGUCUAGUCAUGGAGGCAUAUACUCAACCCUAGGCGGUGUUAACGUGGAGCCAUUUUGCAGUGAUGAUCUGAUACGUGCAGAUUGAAGCCAGUACUCUAUACGUGUUCAUGUAGCUUGUUUUGUGGUGGAUCUCGCUGCUACCUGAUUUACUACUUGAGGAUUAUGUUUUAAAGUAUCUUGUUUAUAGUGUAAACUGUAAAUUUGACUGUACUUCUAUGGAGCCUGAACUAUAAACAUACAAAUUUUUCCACCAUU
rnacentral:lncRNA from 1 species